CAAAAGAUAGCUUAAAUAAAAGCCUCUCGCUUACACCGAGACGAUAUCUGUUAAACCCAGAUUUUUUUGA
rnacentral:tRNA from 1 species